AACGUAGGAGGCGAGCGUUAUCCGGAUUCACUGGGCGUAAAGCGCAUGUAGGUGGCUCGGCAAGUCCGGUGUGAAAGCCUCUGGCUCAACUGGGGGAGGACACCGGAAACUGCGGGGCUGGAGGAUCAGAGAGGAAGGUGGAAUUCCCGGUGUAGCGGUGGAAUGCGUAGAGAUCGGGAGGAACACCAGUGGCGAAGGCGGCCUUCUGGCUGAUUCCUGACACUGAGAUGCGAAAGCGUGGGUAG
rnacentral:rRNA from 1 species